UACGAAGGGGGCUAGCGUUGCUCGGAAUCACUGGGCGUAAAGGGUGCGUAGGCGGGUCUUUAAGUCAGGGGUGAAAUCCUGGAGCUCAACUCCAGAACUGCCUUUGAUACUGGCGAGCUUGAGUCCGGGAGAGGUGAGUGGAACUGCGAGUGUAGAGGUGAAAUUCGUAGAUAUUCGCAAGAACACCAGUGGCGAAGGCGGCUCACUGGCCCGGUACUGACGCUGAGGUGCGAAAGCGUGGGGAGCAAACAGGAUUAAGAAACCC
rnacentral:rRNA from 1 species